rnacentral:rRNA from 1 species
CCUACGGGAGGCAGCAGUAGGGAAUCUUCCACAAUGGGCGAAAGCCUGAUGGAGCAACGCCGCGUGGGUGAAGAAGGUCUUCGGAUCGUAAAACCCUGUUGUUAGAGAAGAAAGUGAGUGAGAGUAACUGUUCACGUUUCGACGGUAUCUAACCAGAAAGCCACGGCUAACUACGUUCCAGCAGCCGUGGUAAUACGUAGGUGGCAAGCGUUAUCCGGAUUUAUUGGGCGUGAAGGGAACGAAGGCGGUCUUUUAAGGCUGAUGUGAACGCCUUCGGCUUAACCGGAGUAGUGCAUUGGAUACUGGGAGACUUGAGUGCAGAAGAGGAGAGUGGAACUCCAUGUGUAGCGGUGAAAUGCGUAGAUAUAUGGAAGAACACCAGUGGCGAAAGCGGCUCUCUGGUCUGUAACUGACGCUGAGGUUCGAAAGCGUGGGUAGCAAACAGGAUUAGAUACCCCUGUAGUC